rnacentral:rRNA from 1 species
GACGAACGCUGGCGGCGUGCUUAACACAUGCAAGUCGAACGGAAAGGCCUUUUCGGAGGUACUCGAGUGGCGAACGGGUGAGUAACACGUGGGUGAUCUGCCCUGCACUCUGGGAUAAGCCUGGGAAACUGGGUCUAAUACCGGAUAGGACCGCACUUUAGCGUGUGUGGUGGAAAGUUUUUUCGGUGUAGGAUGAGCCCGCGGCCUAUCAGCUUGUUGGUGGGGUAAUGGCCUACUAAGGCGGCGACGGGUAGCCGGACUGAGAGGUUGGUCGGCAACAUUGUAACUGAGAUACGGCCCAGACUCCUACGGGAGGCAGCAGUGGGGAAUAUUGCACAAUGGGCGCAAGCCUGAUGCAGCGGCGCCGCGUGGGGGAUGACGGACUUCGGGUUGUAAGCUCAUUUCGCCAGGGACGAAGCGUUUUGUGACGGUACCUGGAGAAGAAGCACCGGCUAACUACGUG